rnacentral:rRNA from 1 species
GACGAACCGUGCGAACGUUGUUCGGAAUCACUGGGCUUAAAGGGAGCGUAGGCGGGCUAUCAAGUCUGGGGUGAAAUCCCGCGGCUCAACCGCGGAACUGCCUCAGAUACUGACGGCCUCGAGGGGGAUAGGGGCAUGCGGAACUGUAGGUGGAGCGGUGAAAUGCGUUGAUAUCUACAGGAACUCCGGUGGCGAAAGCGGCGUGCUGGAUCCCUUCUGACGCUGAGGCUCGAAAGCCAGGGGAGCAAACGGG